AUCAAAGCUGAUGUAUGGAAAUAGUUCCCCGUCUGUAUGGCUGGUGGUUUUUGUCAUAUUUAAUAUGGAUGUAAUUGAUAACAUAUCCUCAGAUAAUCGUGGAGAUGUUCAUCCAUUCUUAUCUUGUUUGGAUACUUGCCUACACCUUUAUAACGAAGACAGCACAAACAUGGGAAAUUCAUUAACUUGGAAAGGAAACCAAUUACUGAAACUACUUGAUGUGGCAAGGAGUCAUCCACAGUCAAACAUUAACCAUGCGCAGGAUUUCCCUCACAAAUUUGCUCCUAAUACCAAGUAUAAUAAACGAACGGUAACUGUGGAUCGUCUCUUUUAUUGCCACAAAACGUGUGUGGAUCUUGUUAUGUCCAGAAAUCAUACUAUCAUUGGUAAAUGAUGUUAGAGAAGUACCCUGGGGCUGUAUCCGUUCUAUAAACUAACUAUAAAAUGG